CCACACACACACAUGAUAUUUGCCAGUCCAGGUGAUGUCAACCGCAAGAGAAAACCAGUGAUGACAAGUUUUACAAAUAAUCGGAAAGUGUGGUCUUUUGAAGAGAGUUCUUGAAGUUGUUCAGCAUGUUGUUUUGAUGGAUUCUUGGAAGGAUGUACCUCUAUGAUGUUAGCUUCAGUUCUGAAGUAUAACACCAGUUGUUGCAUAUUUAAUAUCAGAUUUAUUAAAUACAUUGUUGUUUUGCAAACAUUACUUAAACUUUGAUAUUUCUUUGGUGUUUAUGUAUGAUAUUGUAGGUGAAUAUCUCUUUAUUGCAAUGGCAAAUAUAUUUUAAAAUAUAUAGCAUUAGCAGAAGUUAUUUUUCACUGCUAAAGCUGCACUUUCACAGAUUGAUCACUUUGACAACUUACACAGGAUUCAAUUGCAUUUAUCAUAUUUUGGCUCGGAGAAGUUUGCUUUGUGAUUUAUAUAUUAGGUCUUAAUUUAAAGAAUGCCAAAAUAAGCCGAUUCUGAGACAAAAAGUGUCAAACUAGAAUUCUGUGAGAGUGCAACUUUAAGAAUACUGUUAAUCGAGUGUGCAUGUGAUCCGGACUCUGAACAUUGGAUGAACUAUCAUUAAAUAUUGUAGAUUUACGUAAAUGGCCCAAAAUAUAAGAAUAACAAUGAAAAUAUGUACAUGUUUGACUUGUUCUUUAUUCAUAAUAAGUCUAAGUCUUUACAGCACAUGUUUGGCAGAAUCAAGUUCUAAUGAACAUAAUAAUUGAUUUAAAUGUACAGUGAAAUAAAUUGUUUUAUACAGAAAAUAAUACCUUAACGAUUCA